UGCAUCUGAGGCCAGUGAGGAUGAGAACCUCCGGGGGCAGGAGGUUCGACUCGAGCGAAGCGAGAGAACGUUGCGUCAGCAACGGCCCGCA
rnacentral:sRNA from 1 species